UCAAUUUUUCAUUAUAAGCUUUUUAAUUUCAGUGUAAAAUGAAAUUAGAUCUAAACCUAUUACAGAUAAUUCUGUGGAUAAAGCUCUUGAUGACUAGCGUUGUAGUCCUGGACACGCCGUCAACAGAGCCAGCUUGUCAUAAAAAUUUUUUUCUAACUGCUGAGCGAAAAUCAGGGCAGAUUGGGGACACAUUUGUAUUCUACAUUUGGUACUUAGACGAUGUAAUACAGAAUAAAACAAUGGAAAACUUCUUGGUUACCCUGCAGUAUAGAGUCGGACUUGAAACGCGAGUGCUACAUGAAUGUUUACUAACAGAAGACUCCGAAGAAUCAAAAAGACCUUUGUAUGUUGUCUCCCAAUCUGACUCUUGCAAGUAUAA
rnacentral:sRNA from 1 species